CGUCCAAGUGACUCUCGAGGAUGCUUCUGACGUCAGACAGUCUUUUUACAAUAUUUUUAGAUACGAUUCGAUCGCAACUACGGUUUAUUUUUUUUAUUUGUCAUUUAAUUUCGUUUUUUAUUGGAUAAAUUUCGGCAGUAAAAAACAAUUUAUAUAAAGUUUAUUUAGUUAUAAAAAAAAAUACAAUCUAUUGAAUAUAAUUUUUUAUUUUAAAAUUCUCGUAUUUAAAAAACAUUGUGUAUGUUGAACUACGGUUGAGAAGAUUCAUUGAAUUUCGGAUAGUUAUAUAUAUAUUUACUGAGACAGUAUCGGUUGUUUAUAGAAAUGUAUGGAGAAAACAAAGACUGAAUUGGACUAGCACGAUUGUGUAUGACCAUGGAUAAAUCCGCAGUGAAGCGAAAUCAAAGCAACGAGGAUAUAAAGCCUCUUCACGACCUUCAGAUAUACUUUAUUCAACGAGAAAACAGUACGGCCUUUAUUUAUGAUCUGGAUCAUCGACAUUUGCCCUCUAAAAAUUCAAAUAAGUAAAUAAAAAUAAACAAUUAAUCUUUCACUGUAAAUAAAAGAUAAAGAAGAAACGGAAACGCCCUUGUUGUUUUUGACUGAUUAUUGAAGAAGACACAGAAAAGAGAAUCGAUUACUUAGAGAUAAAAAAAAAAAAAAAAUUCGUUUUAUAAUAAAAAAUAAUAUAAAUUUUUCAUCAAUAUUGGUAAGACUUAGUGAUGAAAUUGUAAAGAUUAAGUUAAUGGAAAAUAUAUUUUUAGAAUGACUGCGUAGUAGUGACAUAGUUUAUACAUCAAAUUUUGAAUGAAAAAUUUUCGAGACGUUCCACUUGUAAUCGAAUUUUCACAACUCGAUUUAUAAAAUGACUAAAAAAUUACUUUUUUUUCCCUUAAAGAUAAAAACAAAUAAUUUA